GGCUCCCUGUCCAUCUGGUAUCGUAGGUCUAUAGUUUUUGGCUCCCUGUCCAUCUGGUAUCGUAGGUCUAUAGUGUUUGGCUCCCUGUCCAGCUGGUAUCGUAGGUCUAUAGUGUUUGUCUCCCUGUCCAUCUGGUAUCGUAGGUCUAUAGAGUUUGGCUCCCUGUCCAGCUGGUAUCGUAGGUCUAUAGUGUUUGUCUCCCUGUCCAUCUGGUAUCGUAGGUCUAUAGAGUUUGGCUCCCUGUCCAGCUGGUAUCGUAGAUCUAUAGUGUUUGGCUCCCUGUCCAGCUGGUAUCGUAGGUCUAUAGUUUUUGGCUCCCUGUCCAUCUGGUAUCGUAGGUCUAUAGUUUUUGGCUCCCUGUCCAGCUGGUAUCGUAGGUCUAUAGUUUUUGGCUCCCUGUCCAGCUGGUAUCGUAGGUCUAUAGUUUUUGGCUCCCUGUCCAGCUGGUAUCGUAGGUCUAUAGUGUUUGGCUCCCUGUCCAGCUGGUAUCGUAGGUCUAUAGUGUUUGUCUCCCUGUCCAUCUGGUAUCGUAGGUCUAUAGAGUUUGUCUCCCUGUCCAUCUGGUAUCAUAGGUCUAUAGUGUUUGUCUCCCUGUCCAUCUGGUAUCAUAGGUCUAUAGUUUUUGUCUCCCUGUCCAUCUGGUAUCGUAGGUCUAUAGAGUUUGUCUCCCUGUCCAUCUGGUAUCGUAGGUCUGUAGUGUUUGUCUCCCUGUCCAUCUGGUAUCGUAGGUCUAUAGUGUUUGGCUCCCUGUCCAUCUGGUAUCGUAGGUCUAUAGUGUUUGGCUCCCUGCCCAUCUGGUAUCAUAGGUCUAUAGUUUUUGGCCCUCUGUCCAGCUGGUAUCGUAGGUCUAUAGUGUUUGUCUCCCUGUCCAGCUGGUAUUGUAGGUCUAUAGAGUUUGGCUCCCUGUCCAUCUGGUAUCGUAGGUCUAUAGUGUUUGGCUCCCUGUCCAUCUGGUAUCGUAGGUCUAUAGUGUUUGUCUCCCUGUCCAUCUGGUAUCGUAGGUCUAUAGUGUUUGGCUCCCUGUCCAUCUGGUAUCGUAGGUCUAUAGUGUUUGGCUCCCUGUCCAUCUGGUAUCAUAGAUCUAUAGUUUUUGGCUCCCUGUCCAUCUGGUAAUGUAGGUCUAUAGUGUUUGUCUCCCUGUCCAGCUGGUAUUGUAGGUCUAUAGAGUUUGGCUCCCUGUCCAUCUGGUAUCGUAGGUCUAUAGUGUUUGGCUCCCUGUCCAUCUGGUAUCGUAGGUCUAUAGUGUUUGGCUCCCUGUCCAUCUGGUAUCGUAGGUCUGUAGUGUUUGGCUCCCUGUCCAUCUGGUAUCGUAGGUCUAUAGUUUUUGGCUCCCUGUCCAUCUGGUAUCGUAGGUCUAUAGUUUUGGCUCCCUGUGCUACAGGACCAAGACUUUUGCCCUCUUUCCCAACAGGCACCUGAGGUUCUAGACUUUUAGCCGCCUGUGACUCUGGGACCACAGAACCAACACCUUCGGAACCCUGUGGCUGCUGAGCUACUGGACCUUGACCUUUACCCCUCUUCCGAUCUGCCACUGCAGCAGGUCCAUAGCGUUUGGCUCCCUGUGGUUCUGGUGCCGCAGGACCAAGACUUUUGGCCUCUUUCCUAAUGGGUAUCUGAGGUCCUAAGCUUUUAGCCUCCGGUGUAUGGGAUGCCACAGGACCAGAACUUUUGACCCCUUUGCCAUUUGGAGCUGCCGGUCCAAAACCUUUGGCCCCCUGUGGCUGCUGAGCUACAGGACCAGAACUCUUAGCUUCCUUUCCCAGUGGAGCUGCAGGCCCAUAGCUUUCGACUCCCUGUGCUUGAAGAACAACAGAACAAGGGCUUUUGGGCCCUUCACAUCUGGCAAUGCAGCAGGUCCUUGGCUAUCAUGAUUGUGGCAUAAUGUGUCUACAUGCAACAUGCACCUUUAUAGAAACUGGGACAAAGACACACAUAGACAGACAAACACACAGGGUAGCAGAUGUUUACCAUUGGGUUUAGCACCCUGUCCAUUGGGCACUCCAGCUCCUGCACCAUAUCCUGAAGACCACAAUAGUGAUUACUCAACACUGGCGACUAUAGGACGGACUCAUGCAGAUACGAUGCUCUGAUCCACAAACAUAACCAUACACGGACACACCCACUUACAUACUUCACCACUUACACAAUUCCAAUCACACCACAACAAAAUAUAUAUGGCUGCCCAUUUGAAAGAAUUUGGCAGCCGAACAAUAAAGACAACCAUUGAUGGUAAGUAGAUAGACACCUGUUAAUGCACUGAGCAAACAACAUGCAUUUACACCAUGUCUGACUGAAUCAACAAAAGGCAUAAAUACUGAUUACACAGAAGAGAUUGAAAACGGCAACACGAAGAGCAGACAUGAAGGCACAAACUGAAAAACGCAGGUAAAAACAAACCAACAUGAAUGCGGACACGGACGGACACGGACGGACACAGCAGGAUUGGAAAGUUUACCCGGUUUUGGUCCCUUAGAUCCCUGUCCAUUGGGAUACCCAGCUCCAGCACCUAAUGUUUGCAAAGGGGCACUGUCAACUGGAAUUAUCAAACUCCACAUGCAGGGUAUGAGGUACAGAGGCUUUGCAGCAAUCAACCACAUUGCUUGUACAGAUGUAGGAUCUUAAUUUCAGCCAGUUUGCUACAGCAGGAAAAUAAUCCUGCUGCGACAGAAAAUGUGAAUUAUUAUGUGAUUAGAAUUCAUCUUUAAGAGUAAAUUGACGCACCUGUGCAUCAAUCUAAGUAACAUUAUUAAAAAAUCCCCAACAAAACCAGUCAGUUUAAUGGACAUUUAUGUAGGGGUUGAUAUAUUUUUCAUUAGGGCAAAUUAAGUCUGAAAUUUCAAAGUGGAAAAUCUUUUAAAACUCAAAUUUUGCAAAUGAAGAUCCUACAUCUGUAAAGCCAGUUUACAGAUGCUUGGUGUCUAUGUAGGACCCGGCUGGCUAAUGUACACUGUACAGUGUACAGUAUGCAGAUGACAAUUUGGAAGAUGCGUGAUAUGGAAAUCCCCACUGAUUUAUUGAUUGGGAUUGACAGUUUGUUCAAUGAAUUAAGUGCUUGAGGUGUGAGCUGUAAAAAAUAUGAACCCUGGCUUGUAAAAUAGUAGACUAUAGUAUUGGCCUUUAGAUGGUUCAGGCCAGCAGGGAUUGGCUGCUUACCUGGUCGUGGAUAGCCUCUGGCUCCAGUUCCAGGCCCGUAACCU
rnacentral:lncRNA from 1 species